UAUAUUUUAAUAUAUGAUGUAUAAAGAAUUUUGAUUUCUUAAGAAAUAGUUUAAUUCUAUUAAAUAUAA
rnacentral:tRNA from 1 species